UUAAUAUAUGUUGAAAUGUCUCAAAGAGCUUCACAGAGUUUACUGUAAAUCGACUGCAUGUAUAAUAUUGGAGGAAAAGAGUGAUGGGUAGCCAUGUAGACAUGACACAUCCUUGAGAGUCUAGCAUUGAGGCUGGUAGUUGAUAUUGUGCAGUGGUCUCUGCACAAUACAUUUGCUCACUGUCUAGUUUAAAAUUGCUUUUAACUAUGUCCUUUUUGCUACCAACAAAUGAGGUGUUGAACCUCAUAAAUUAGUUUUUCACCAUUGCUACGAGGCAUUGGUAAUACGUCCAUUUGUAAUUUUGUCUAAUUGCAUUCUGUUUCGGAGCUUUGAGUUCAUACCAUGCGAAGUUGAGGUUGAAUCCCUUAAAUUCUUUUCCCUAAUUGUACAUGAGAGAAGAGCGCUCUGGGAAGCAACCCUGAGUGAGGGAUGCUAUAUAAAUGCAAAUUAUUGUACAUCUGAACUGGCUGUUUCUUUCUCUCUGUAAAACAUAAAUUCCCAGAGUGUGUUCUCCUCAUCUCCUCAGAGCAGAACAAAUACCUAUUGAAAUUAGUUAGCAAAACCAAUUGCACACAACUAUAAUCAGACUGGAAUUCUAACAGUGCUGUGACCUGUAAUUAGUCUCCAAUCAUGUAACGUGAAUCAGAUUUGUGUAACCCGACCAUCUCUAUCCCACUGGGUAGUGGAACGAAAGGUGGGUGCUUCUGUAGCCUUGUGUCCAUUUAUUAAAAUCUUAUAAUUUCCAGGUGCUCGCUCUGGACUGGUGCAACAGCAGUCAAAUUACACAGCAGAUUUGAUAGCCGUCGCUCUGUGGUCACUUUGAAGUAGUUUUGAAAUGGGAACAAUAUGUAAGAAAUCAUGGUAUAAUUUGUUGGUGUUUUAUGAGCUUGUGUAAAGCUUCACAUCUUUAAGCUAUUGAAUUAUGAUUUACACUAGGAUUUCACACCGUUGCAAUGGAGUAUUUAACAUUGUGUACACUAAAUAUGAGGCUGGAUGGAUGUUGUGGAGUUUGGCUUUGGGGAACUUUGGGAAUCAGAGAUCAGCAUUUUAUCCCAGAAGAUAGUAAGUGGAGGGGGAAGGCCAUGAGAAGCUGAAUGGCCUUUCUCAUUCCAUGCUUUAUUUUUAGGGAUUCAUUAUAGAGGAAUUAUAGCUGGCAUUUAAUCACACCAACUAUGUUUUAGUGCAGAGGGCAAAUCAGACUUUAACUCUCCCAAGUGCUGUCAAUAUUGGGGUGGGGGUGUGAUUUGUGGUGGCUCAGCUUCAAUUCCCCCACCCAAUUCUUACAGCAAAUCUCUGCUCAGUGAUUCACAGCAAAAUAUUUGUAUAAACAAACCAAAAUACACUCCUUGAGAUUUACUGAAAUGUGCUGCUUGCCUGGAAUAUUUUACUGUUACCCCGCUUCUCCACCCCCCACCCCAUUCUACACAAUCUGGUGGUAUAAAAUAGCUAAUGCACUGAUUAUUGCCUCUAACAAAUAACAGAUUAGUAAGAGAUGCGAAGUUCUAGGGCUAGUUUUUGAUCAGGUACUCAACGCAUUUACCCAUUCCUGAAGUGGUGAGACUGACUGCACCAAGGGAAAGAUCAAUGCUGAGUAAUGUUAAAUGAAAGUUAGAUUUGCUGAUGUUAUGCUCAGUUGCCCUUUGAAGGCAGGCAGAACCUUUCCACAGAGCAAUGAGUUUGUUAGAGACUGUAAUAGAUCGUAGGCCUUCGGAAUCGAGUGUACUUUUAUAGCUCAGUUCAUACCUAGAAUGAUAAAGAGCAAGUGUUGCAGUCCAAUUGAGGAAAUGUGCACUUUUUUGUUUGACUGCUGUAGAAAUGAAUAUGGUUUGCUGUGUAUAUUGCAAUACACUAACUGGUGAGCAGAAGAAACUAGCAUUCCAGAUACAAAGGCAAAGACAGUGUUGUUACUUUGGGUUGGAACUAUUUAAACCCAUGUUAAAUGCAUGGUCUCAGUAUGAAGCAAUGUCUGAGUACCCUUGAGCUAAUUUGAAGCUAAGAAAGUAGGAAUGUUUUGUUAACAGUGAGGUUAAAAGUAAUAAUAAUUAAUAAUCUUUGCAUUUGAUGUAGCACCUUAUCACGUCUUUGAGACGUCUCAAAGCGUUUCACAGAAUAUACUGAAAGUGAAUUGAAAUCCUUGUACGUUUCCGUCGGCCCAGGUCUGUUGAAGUACCUUAACUGUUAAAUUGUGCCUAGUGGUGUGUAGAAUGCAAAAAUCCACACUCAUGUAAAUUUCAUCAACUCAUUUGUUGACUUUUUUUUAAAUGUCUUGAAUAACAGACUCAGGCAGAAUGCACAGUCCCACAGCAGCUGAAGCUGCUCCUCAGCAAGGCAGCCAGUGAAUGGCCAAUAUUCAGAAUGCCACCAAUCUGUGACUCCUCAUUGCCUGCUUUCCAAAGUUGCCUUUCUACAUUGCUGGUCUGUGUAAACCAAGCGGAGUGAGUGAUGCUGCCUCAGAAAUAAUGCACUGUUCCCAGCACUGCUAACCCUCGCAUCAUCCACCUGCUCUGAUGAGUCUGGCAUUGCUGGCUGAGAUUAAGAUAAAGGUUUAUUUUGAUGACCUUGCUGCGUUGUGCUGCGUGUGAAUCAACACUCCUGCCAUUAUUACAGUUUUAGACUGUGAAGAAUUCUUUGUGUAAAUCUGUUCUCGUGCAUGUGCAAUAGAAAAUGGCAAACCACCAACCAAAAUGUGCUCUUUAUCUGGGUUUUUCUGUGUGUGGGUGUGUGGGGGUGUGUAGGGCAGAGAGAGAGAAAAAGAGAGAAUCGGUUUAUUUGUACUCAGAUUAGGACAUUUUGAAAAUGUAUUGGUUAACUGAGCACAGGCAUAAGAUUGGGGAACAUGGUGCAGUCUGGCACCGCAUGGCCUGUGCACAUCUCGCAGUGCAUGUCCAGAGCCCAAUGAGUGAAAGGCACCUGUUCGCUCUCUGCUGGGAUCUGCAUAAGCACCAGGAAAUGCAAGUUCCCAACACAGUAAAGGACAGCUGCGGUGGACAGCUGUUGUGUGAAUGGCGUCACCUGGUGAAUACACAGUUGGCGCAGUACGUAUUGUGUACAUCUUGGGACCUGCGUUUUUUUAAAGAA